rnacentral:rRNA from 1 species
UGGGAUCAGUGGCGAACGGGUGAGUAACACGUGAGCAACCUGCCCCUGACUCUGGGAUAAGCGCUGGAAACGGCGUCUAAUACUGGAUACGAACCACGAAGGCAUCUUCAGUGGUUGGAAAGAAUUUCGGUUGGGGAUGGGCUCGCGGCCUAUCAGCUUGUUGGUGAGGUAAUGGCUCACCAAGGCGUCGACGGGUAGCCGGCCUGAGAGGGUGACCGGCCACACUGGGACUGAGACACGGCCCAGACUCCUACGGGAGGCAGCAGUGGGGAAUAUUGCACAAUGGGCGAAAGCCUGAUGCAGCAACGCCGCGUGAGGGAUGACGGCCUUCGGGUUGUAAACCUCUUUUAGCAGGGAAGAAGCGAAAGUGACGGUACCUGCAGAAAAAGCGCCGGCUAACUACGUGCCAGCAGCCGCGGUAAUACGUAGGGCGCAAGCGUUAUCCGGAAUUAUUGGGCGUAAAGAGCUCGUAGGCGGUUUGUCGCGUCUGCUGUGAAAUCCGGAGGCUCAACCUCCGGCCUGCAGUGGGUACGGGCAGACUAGAGUGCGGUAGGGGAGAUUGGAAUUCCUGGUGUAGCGGUGGAAUGCGCAGAUAUCAGGAGGAACACCGAUGGCGAAGGCAGAUCUCUGGGCCGUAACUGACGCUG